AUUGAACGCUGGCGGCAGGCCUAACACAUGCAAGUCGAACGAGUGGCGGACUGGUGAGUAAUGUCUGGGAAACUGCCCGAUGGAGGGGGAUAACUACUGGAAACGGUAGCUAAUACCGCAUACCAUCGGAUGUGCCCAGAUGGGCUUAGCUAGUAGGUGGGGUAACGGCUCACCGUGGCGUCGAUCCCUAGCUGGUCUGAGAGGCUGACGAGGCACACUGGAAGUGAGACACGGUCCAGACUCCUACGUGAGGCAGGAGUGGGGAAUAUUGCACAAUAGGAGCAAGACGGAUACAGCCAUGCCGCUUGUAUGAAGAAGGCCUUCGGGUUGUAAAGUACUUUGAGCGAGGAGGCGUUACUCGCAGAAGAAGCACCGGCUAACGCCGUGCCAGCAGCCGAGGUAAUUC
rnacentral:rRNA from 1 species